UGGGGAAUAUUGCACAAUGGGGGAAACCCUGAUGCAGCAACGCCGCGUGAGUGAUGACGGCCUUCGGGUUGUAAAGCUCUGUCUUCAGGGACGAUAAUGACGGUACCUGAGGAGGAAGCCACGGCUAACUACGUGCCAGCAGCCGCGGUAAUACGUAGGUGGCAAGCGUUGUUCGGAUUUACUGGGCGUAAAGGGCGCGUAGGCGGCGCGGUAAGUCACUUGUGAAAUCUCUGAGCUUAACUCAGAACGGCCAAGUGAUACUGCUGUGCUAGAGUGCGGAAGAGGCAACCGGAAUUCUUGGUGUAGCGGUGAAAUGCGUAGAUAUCAAGAGGAACACCUGAGGCGAAGGCGGGUUGCUGGGCCGACACUGACGCUGAUGCGCGAAAGCCAGGGGAGCAAACG
rnacentral:rRNA from 1 species